GAGAUUUCACCCGUAACAUCCAGCAGCAAAACACCCUAAGUGGGGCUCCGGUUGUAGGUGCUGUGGUGCCUCAGUGCCCAGGGAUGCCUUUGUCUUCAUCUUCACUUUCUUCCUUCAAGGAUCGAAUGAGCAACUCGCAUUCUUGGAGGUAAAGUCCAAGUUCUAAUUCCUGCCUCACCUGCUGAUCAUCAGGUGGACUGCUGAGGCUCGAGCUCAGGAGCAACCCGUAUUGAAAAGUCUGCAUCCAAAAGGAUGGCCGCUCUUGCCUCUGGUUCUAAAAACUGUACGUAAUGACUCAGCUCUCACUAGAGCCAUAGUGCUGCAUCCAGUUUCCCUGCUGGUGGAAGCUCCAGUAGAACCUUCUCAUCCCCAGAGAAGCACAUGAGAGAAGUCCUAGCUGUCCUAGGAACUCCUUGCUGUAAUGAACUGCAUCCCCAAAGCCUCCCGCAUGCAAGCACCUCUGCAGCACUGAAGCGGUGAAUGAUGGCAUCAGAAGGCAAUAUGGAGAACGCAGUGGCCAGUUUCGUGUGGGACACACCUGAGCAACUGGGAGCUGAUGCUCCACCAAAACUCAAGAUGGAACUCAGCAAGAUCCAGCCCACAGGGGGUACAAGCACAGCACGACGGAGCUGUCACUAGCAGCACUUGUCAGCCUGCUGUACAGCUAUUACGGGCAGCCCUGCUACGUGGAGGGAACAGCAGACAUGCAGUGGUGUUGGUGCAUCAGGCUCAUGACCUCCUAGGGGGCAAUGUUCGGUGAGUAGAGCAGUGCCUUCCUGUUCCAAGAAGUCUAGAUGGCUGGGACUGUGAAGGAGCUCCAAGGAGGCUUUCCAAGUUCUAAGGAGCACACCAUUUUGCAGAGCACCCAAGAGAGAACAUGGGAGCGCUACAAACUGAUGGCAAAGUGGGACAUCACAGCCAACUGCUGCCUGUGUAAGGAGCUGACGAGAAACAAUCCCUCCCUCUCCAUCUGAUAGGCAGUUGGAAGAGACUUUUAGAUGUCGUCCAGUCCACCUCCCCUGCAGUGAACAGGAUCAUCUACAGCUGGAUCAGGUUGACCCGGGCCUGAUCUUAGAGAUCUUCUAUGUUACAGACUCUGUGAUUGGUACAACUCUAAGACUCACGCUC